CCCCUAGAUGUUCUGGGCCGCACGCGCGCUACACUGAACAGUUCAACAAGUCUUAACCUUGGCCGAUAGGUCUGGGUAAUCUUUGAACGCUGUUCGUGAUUGGGAUAGACCUUUGCAAUUAUGGGUCUUCAACGAGGAAUUCCUAGUAAACGCAAGUCAUCAGCUUGCAUUGAUUACGUCCCUGCCCUUUGUACACACCGCCCGUCGCACCUACCGAUUGAAUGGUCCGGUGAGGCCCCCGGAAUGUGGCAACGGCUUUGGUUCGCCAAACUGAUGCUGCGUGAAGCUGUCCAAACCUUNUNAUUUAUNGGAAGGUGAANUCGUANCA
rnacentral:rRNA from 1 species